rnacentral:lncRNA from 1 species
GGAAUAAUAGGUUUACUGUGCACAUACAUCCCUUACUCCCCCCUUUUUUUGUAUAUAGAACUUCUUAUACAGUAAAUUACAUCUCAUUUUCCUGAUGUAAGAAUACAUCUAUUAUGACGCCUUCAUCAUUCUUCCUCUGUUAAAUAAUUAGUUAACAUUUUUAGUCUAAAGGUAAGGGAUGUUGCCAAUCUUGUGAGUUCCUGAUCCAUGUAAUGAGCUCAUUGAGAAAUCUGAUGAGUUAAUAGUUCCUGGGGAUAGUGGACUCAAACUUAAAAUGGUAAUUACAAGCAUCAUCAAGUUGACUUUCAAGAGCAGAAUAAUCAAUGAAUAAAUCCCUCCUUUGCUUGUGGGACACAGUGAAUUGACUUUCUGGGUCAAUCCACAACUGAACAGCAUCAAGCAACCCAGGACGGACCCCUUCCUAGCUUCUGUUACUGUACUUCCAGUCUUCAUCCAACCAUUUAAAUAGUUCAUAAGGUCACAGAUCUUUGAGUACAAAGGAAGAGAGUACUGACUGAAUAUGCCUAGAGUUAGUGGAAAGAAAUGGGUAGAAGGCAUUUCAGAUUCGUGCCCUAGAUGGGAAAACAGGGGAUACGGAAACAAAGAUGGAAGUUCAUUCUUCUUACAUGAAUACCAGCAAAGUGCAUAGGUCAGAAGAAUCAAUUAUCUGGACAAUUCAACUAUAACAACCUGCUAUUUUGGGAGGAAAUUGGCCUCUGUUUUGUAGAUUAAUCAUCA